rnacentral:rRNA from 1 species
CACGUACUGUGCGAACGUUAUUCGGAAUCACUGGGCUUAAAGGGUGCGUAGGCGGCGAUUCAAGUCAGGUGUGAAAGGCUUCAGCUCAACUGGGGCAUAGCGCUUGAAACUGGAUUGCUGGAGUAUCUCAGGGGUGUGCGGAACUGCCAGUGGAGCGGUGAAAUGUGUUGAUAUUGGCAGGAACACCGGAGGCGAAGGCGGCACACUGGGGGAUAACUGACGCUGAGGCACGAAAGCCAGGGGAGCGAACGGG